rnacentral:rRNA from 1 species
UACGGGGGGGGCAAGCGUUGUUCGGAAUUACUGGGCGUAAAGGGUGCGUAGGCGGCUUUCUAAGUCGGAUGUGAAAACUCUGGGCUCAACCCAGAGCCUGCAUCUGAAACUGGAAAGCUAGGGUUCUGGAGGGGAAAGCGGAAUUCCUGGUGUAGCGGUGAAAUGCGUAGAUAUCAGGAGGAACACCGGUGGCGAAAGCGACUUCCUGGACCAAUACUGACGCUCAUGUGCGAAAGCGUGGGGAGCAAACGGG